UCUGGGGAGUUGUUAAACGACUUAGCAUAUGAAAAAAUCGGAAAUGAGGCGCUGGGGAAGGAGCUGGGAUUGGCAGCGGCCUGGGUGUGGACAAAUCCUCCAAGAUUUAACUUCCAAGGAAACCGGCGGCGGAGCGGGUGGAGGAGGCGAGGAUGUGUGGCCAGUGCACGCGGAGUGCAAGGCCGUCUAGUUGGGAGCCGCAAGAGCCUGCCUGGUGUGGCAGGCACACAGAACCCAAUCCCUGUCU
rnacentral:lncRNA from 1 species